ensembl:Mt_tRNA
GGUAAAAUGGCUGAUAAAAGCGCUAGACUGUAAAUCUAAGAAUAGAGGCAAGUCCUCUUUUUGCCAA